rnacentral:rRNA from 1 species
UACGUAGGGUGCAAGCGUUGUCCGGAAUUAUUGGGCGUAAAGAGCUCGUAGGCGGUUCGUCGCGUCGGCUGUGAAAUCCCGGAGCUCAACUCCGGGUCUGCAGUCGAUACGGGCGGACUCGAGUUCGGCAGGGGAGACUGGAAUUCCUGGUGUAGCGGUGAAAUGCGCAGAUAUCAGGAGGAACACCGGUGGCGAAGGCGGGUCUCUGGGCCGGUACUGACGCUGAGACGCGAAAGCGUGGGGAGCGAACAGG